rnacentral:lncRNA from 10 species
CUUCUGAAUUUUGUCCUUGGAGGUGUGGGAAGAAUGAAUAUUGAAUAUUCAUACUCAACAUGAAUAUUUUGGAAGCUGGGCCUGAAAGUUAAGGUUCACUGAAAGCUAAAAAUGAGAUGAACUCAGUGAAAGUACUGUGGAAAGAGGCACCUGGCUGGAUAUUUGAAUCUUCUUAACCCUGAGCUCUGCUUCAGUCUCAUCUGUUGUGUUCAUGACAUGACUCUCUAAUCACUAUGGGCAAUUGGGAAAAUGGUUAUUUUCAAAAAGAAAUUGACUUGUCUCUUCGUAGUUUAAUGUAGAAGCAGGUAUAGUUUGGUUAUGGUGAAAUCUGG